rnacentral:rRNA from 1 species
UACAGAGGUCCCGAGCGUUGUUCGGAUUCAUUGGGCGUAAAGGGCGCGUAGGCGGCCUCUGCAAGUCGACUGUGAAAUCUCCGGGCUUAACCCGGAAAGGUCAGCCGAUACUGCAGGGCUAGAGUGCAGAAGGGGCAACUGGAAUUCUCGGUGUAGCGGUGAAAUGCGUAGAUAUCGAGAGGAACACCUGCGGCGAAGGCGGGUUGCUGGGCUGACACUGACGCUGAGGCGCGAAAGCUAGGGGAGCGAACGGG